GACGAACGCUGGCGGCGUGCUUAACACAUGCAAGUCGAACGGAAAGGCCCUGCUUUUGUGGGGUGCUCGAGUGGCGAACGGGUGAGUAACACGUGAGUAACCUGCCCUUGACUUUGGGAUAACUUCAGGAAACUGGGGCUAAUACCGGAUAGGAGCUCCUGCUGCAUGGUGGGGGUUGGAAAGUUUCGGCGGUUGGGGAUGGACUCGCGGCUUAUCAGCUUGUUGGUGGGGUAGUGGCUUACCAAGGCUUUGACGGGUAGCCGGCCUGAGAGGGUUACCGGCCACAUUGGGACUGAGAUACGGCCCAGACUCCUACGGGAGGCAGCAGGGGGGAAUAUUGCACAAUGGGCGGAAGCCUGAUGCAGCAACGCCGCGUGCGGGAUGACGGCCUUCGGGUUGUAAACCGCUUUCGCCUGUGACGAAGCGUGAGUGACGGUAAUGGGUAAAGAAGCACCGGCUAACUACGUG
rnacentral:rRNA from 1 species